GCAUCAUUGGUCUAGUGGUAGAAUUCAUCGUUGCCAUUCAGCUGAUUAACUAAUCAGUCACGUGACUCGAUGAGGCCCGUGUUCGAUUCACGGAUGAUGCA